rnacentral:misc_RNA from 1 species
AAGAUCUGGGCUUGCAAUCCCUUGAAAAAGCCCAAAAGUCCUUCUCUUCUCCAUAUCACACGCACAACUGCAGGCACCGUUUUACGGGAUUUAGGUUCACCUUUCUUACUUCCAUCAUCAUUUGAAUCUGCAGCUUGAAUCAUCACCUUACACCUAAUUGCAGGAUAUGUUAUAAAGGUUGCAGCACUCUUUGAAAUUGCACCCAAAACAAAUGCUGAGAGGGCAGAAAGGGCUUCUACAGAGGAACCCUUGUCUGCUGCAUUUUCUUUUCCCUUGAGAUGUCUUUGUUUGAGUUGAUCAAACACUGUAUACUGAAUUGCAGGAUUUGAGGUCAGCAAAAGAGAGAUGCCAAGGCCAUCAAAUGCAUCACUCCAAGUGCCCUCAGUCAAAGUCUGCCAAAGUCCUUUUGAUUUGCCAAAGGCACUUGUCUGCAUCCUUGAGGAGGCCGUAUCUAAGGGCUGAGUCACGAGGGCAGUGCAAGCACCAGCAGCAGCAGCAA